CCUUAUCAGUUCUAAUUAAUUUAAAGAGGAUCUAGCCUCAAAUUAUAUUCAAUUUAGUCCCUCUAUUAAAAUUCGUGCUCUUCAGGCCCAGUUGAUUUUGGGUUUAAGAACACUGAGCUCGGACUAGGACCCAGUUUGGCCUCAGGCUUCUAAAGCCAAAUUUAUUUGAAGCAACCGCCGAAACCAAGCCCAUUUCGGCCCACAACAUUUUUUUCUUAUUUCUUUUCUUUUCCUUCUUUUCUUCUUUUCUUUUCUUCUUUUUCUUUUCUUCCUUUUUCUUCCUUCCCGAACC
rnacentral:lncRNA from 1 species